GUGACAGCCCCGUACACAAAAAUGCACAUGCUGUGAGCUCGAUGAGUAGGGCGGGACACGUGGUAUCCUGUCUGAAUAUGGGGGGACCAUCCUCCAAGGCUAAAUACUCCUGACUGACCGAUAGUGAACCAGUACCGUGAGGGAAAGGCGAAAAGAACCCCGGCGAGGGGAGUGAAAAAGAACCUGAAACCGUGUACGUACAAGCAGUGGGAGCACGCUUAGGCGUGUGACUGCGUACCUUUUGUAUAAUGGGUCAGCGACUUAUAUUCUGUAGCAAGGUUAACCGAAUAGGGGAGCCGAAGGGAAACCGAGUCUUAACUGGGCGUUAAGUUGCAGGGUAUAGACCCGAAACCCGGUGAUCUAGCCAUGGGCAGGUUGAAGGUUGGGUAACACUAACUGGAGGACCGAACCGACUAAUGUUGAAAAAUUAGCGGAUGACUUGUGGCUGGGGGUGAAAGGCCAAUCAAACCGGGAGAUAGCUGGUUCUCCCCGAAAGCUAUUUAGGUAGCGCCUCGUGAA
rnacentral:rRNA from 1 species